rnacentral:rRNA from 1 species
GAUAGUUAGAAGCACCAAUAGGACGAAGGGGCUCCUGGGGCAGUACUACGACUCUGUGACGAAAGAGUGGGGGCGAACACAAUUAGAUACACCCCUAGACCCCCCCCUAAAUCAAAUCAAAAAGUUAUUUGGUGAGGAUACUCUUUGAGUAACGCAGCUAACGCGUGAAGUGUCCGCCUGGGAUUACGGACUGCC